UACGGAGGGUGCAAGCGUUAUCCGGAUUCACUGGGUUUAAAGGGUGCGCAGGCGGUCCUGCAAGUCAGGCGUGAAAUCCCCGGGCUUAACCUGGGAAUGGCACUUGAAACUACGGGACUGGAGUAUGGCAGAGGGAGGUGGAAUUCCACGUGUAGCGGUGAAAUGCGUAGAGAUGUGGAGGAACACCGAUGGCGAAGGCAGCCUCCUGGGCCAAUACUGACGCUCAUGCACGAAAGCGUGGGGAGCAAACAGG
rnacentral:rRNA from 1 species